ACUCCGGUUGAUCCUGCCGGACCCGACUGCUAUCAGAGUGAGAUUAAGCCAUGCGAGUUAACGUAGCAAUACGUGGCGCACGGCUCAGUAACACGUAGUCAACAUGCCCAGGGGACGUGGAUAACCUCGGGAAACUGAGUCUAAACCGCGAUAUGUCAGGAUUUCUGGAAUGGUUCCUGACUAAAAUCUAUAUGGCCUCUGGAUUGGACUGCGGCCGAUCAGGCUGUUGGUGAGGUAAUGGCCCACCAAACCUGUAACCGGUACGGGCUCUGAGAGGAGGAGCCCGGAGAUGGGCACUGAGACAAGGGCCCAGGCCCUAUGGGGCGCAGCAGGCGCGAAACCUCUGCAAUAGGCGAAAGCCUGACAGGGUUACUCUGAGUGACUUUCGCUAAGAAAGUCUUUUGGCACCUCUAAAAAGGGUGCAGAAUAAGGGGUGGGCAAGUCUGGUGUCAGCCGCCGCGCUAAUACCAGCACCCCGAGUGGUCGGGACGAUUAUUGGGCCUAAAGCAUCCGUAGCCGGUUCUGCAAGUCCUCCGUUAAAUCCAGCUGCUCAACAGAUGGGCCGCGGAGGAUACUACAGAGCUAGGAGGCAGGAGAGGCAAGCGGUACUCAGU
rnacentral:rRNA from 1 species